AUGGCAGUGUUCAACCAGUUCCACAGCCUAUCCGGGGCAAACUUCGACAAAAUCAACUAUGCUUUUGUGGCCUUGCUUCCUAAGAAAGAUGGAGCUGAAUCUGUGGGAGAUUUUCGGCCGAUAAGCCUCAUCAACUCAAUUGCCAAGCUCAUCACCAAAGUACUCUCGAUAAGAUUAGCAGAGAAAAUCUCAUCGAUCAUUUCGCCAGCUCAGAGCCCUUUUCUAAAGUCAAGAUGCCUGCAAGAUAACUACCUCUAUGUCAGGAACUCAGUUUUAUCGUUACACCGUAAAAAGAAGCCGGCCUUGCUGAUUAAACUGGACAUUGCUCGGGCAUUCGACUCGGUCUCCUAG
rnacentral:rRNA from 1 species